GGACGAACGCUGGCGGCGUACCUAAUACAUGCAAGUCGAACGGUCUUUCUAUGGAAGCUUGCUCCACUGAGAAGAUAGUGGCGAACGGGUGAGUAACACGUGGGUAACCUGCCCAUAAGAGGGGGAUAACAUCCGGAAACGGGUGCUAAUACCGCAUAGUUUUCUUGAUCGCAUGAUUGAGAAAGGAAAGACGGCCUUUGUGCUGUCGCUUAUGGAUGGACCCGCGGCGUAUUAGUUAGUUGGUGAGGUAACGGCUCACCAAGACGAUGAUACGUAGCCGACCUGAGAGGGUGAUCGGCCACAUUGGGACUGAGACACGGCCCAAACUCCUACGGGAGGCAGCAGUAGGGAAUCUUCCGCAAUGGACGAAAGUCUGACGGAGCAACGCCGCGUGAGUGAAAGAAGGUUUUCGGAUCGUAAAACUCUGUUGUCAGAGAAGAACAAGUUGGAGAGUAACUGCUCCAGCCUUGACGGUAUCUGACCAGAAAGCCACGGCUAACUACGUGCCAGCCGCCGC
rnacentral:rRNA from 1 species